AUUGAACGCUGGCGGCAGGCCUAACACAUGCAAGUCGAGCGAGCGGCGGCCGGGUGAGUAAUGUAUGGGGACUGCCCGAUAGAGGGGGAUAACUACUGGAAACGGUGGCUAAUACCGCAUACUAUCGGAUAACCCAUAUGGGAUUAGCUAGUAGGUGGGGUAAAGGCUCACCUAGGCGACGAUCUCUCGCUGGUCUGAGAGGAUGAUCAGCCACACUGUGACUGAGACACGGCCCAGAGUCCAAGGGAGGCAGCAGUGGGGAAUAUUGCACAAUGGGCGCAAGCCUGAUGCAGCCAGGCCGCGUGUAUGAAGAAGGCAUGAGGGUGGUAAAGUACUUUCAGCGGGGAGGCGUUACCCGCAGAAGAAGCACCGGAUAACUCCGUGCCAGCAGCCGCGGUAAUUC
rnacentral:rRNA from 1 species